GACUACAGGGGUAUCUAAUCCUGUUUGAUCCCCACACUUUCGCACCUCAGCGUCAGUCAUCGGCCAGGAGCUCGCCUUCGCCACUGGUGUUCUUCCAGAUAUCUACAGAUUUCACCCCUACACCUGGAAUUCCAGCUCCCUCUCCGUGACUCAAGUCCCGCAGUUCCCAACGCAAUGCCAUGGUUGAGCCAUAGCCUUUCACGUCAGGCUUACAGAACCGCCUACAUGCCCUUUACGCCCAGUAAUUCCGAACAACGCUCGCCCCCUACGUGUUACCGCGGCUGCUGGCACGUAGUUAGCCGGGGCUUAUUCGCCGGUUCAUGUCAUCCCACGGGCAUUCCCUCCCAUGGUUAUUCUUCCCCAGCAAAAGGAUUUUACAACCUCACGGCCUUCAUCAUCCACGCGGCGUCGCUCCGUCAGACUUUCGUCCAUUGCGGAAUAUUCCUCACUGCAGCCACCCGUAGG
rnacentral:rRNA from 1 species